rnacentral:rRNA from 1 species
CCGGUUCUUGUUCCCAAGUAGCGCGGGACUCGUGGAAUCCCGUGUGAAUCGGCCCCGACCGUGGGGUAAGCCUGAAUAUUCCUGUCUGACCGAUAGCGUACGAGUACCGUGAGGGAAAGGUGAAAAGCACCCCGGGAGGGGAGUGAAAGAGUUUCUGAAACCGUGUGCCUACAAUCCGUCGGAGCCUUUCGGGGUGACGGCGUGCCUAUCGAAAAAUGAGUCUGCGAGUCAGUGGUGCGUGGCGAGGCUAACCCGUGUGGGGCAGCCGUAGCGAAAGCGAGUCCGAUAAGGGCGUUUCCAGUCGCGUGUCCUGGACCCGAAGCGGGAUGAUCUAGCCCUGGGCAGGUUGAAGCGCGGGUAAGACCGCGUGGAGGACCGAACGGACCUGGGUUGAAAACCGGGCCGAUGACCUGGGGCUAGGGGUGAAAGGCCAAUCAAAUUCCGUGAUAGCUGGUUCUCUCCGAAAUGCAUUUCGGUG